GACGGGUGAGUAAUGUCUGGGAAACUGCCUGAUGGAGGGGGAUAACUACUGGAAACGGUAGCUAAUACCGCAUAACGUCGCAAGACCAAAGAGGGGGACCUUCGGGCCUCUUGCCAUCAGAUGUGCCCAGAUGGGAUUAGCUAGUAGGUGGGGUAAUGGCUCACCUAGGCGACGAUCCCUAGCUGGUCUGAGAGGAUGACCAGCCACACUGGAACUGAGACACGGUCCAGACUCCUACGGGAGGCAGCAGUGGGGAAUAUUGCACAAUGGGCGCAAGCCUGAUGCAGCCAUGCCGCGUGUAUGAAGAAGGCCUUCGGGUUGUAAAGUACUUUCAGCGAGGAGGAAGGCAUUGUGGUUAAUAACCUCAGUGAUUGACGUUACUCGCAGAAGAAGCACCGGCUAACUCCGUGCCAGCAGCCGCGGUAAUACGGAGGGUGCAAGCGUUAAUCGGAAUUACUGGGCGUAAAGCGCACGCAGGCGGUCUGUCAAGUCGGAUGUGAAAUCCCCGGGCUCAACCUGGGAACUGCAUUCGAAACUGGCAGGCUAGAGUCUUGUAGAGGGGGGUAGAAUUCCAGGUGUAGCGGUGAAAUGCGUAGAGAUCUGGAGGAAUACCGGUGGCGAAGGCGGCCCCCUGGACAAAGACUGACGCUCAGGUGCGAAAGCGUGGGGAGCAAACAGGAUUAGAUACCCUG
rnacentral:rRNA from 2 species